rnacentral:rRNA from 1 species
UGGGGAAUAUUGCACAAUGGGGGAAACCCUGAUGCAGCGACGCCGCGUGAACGAAGAAGGUAUUCGUAUCGUAAAGUUCUGUCCUAUCGGAAGAUAAUGACAGUACCAUAGAAGAAAGCUCCGGCUAAAUACGUGCCAGCAGCCGCGGUAAUACGUAUGGAGCGAGCGUUGUCCGGAAUUAUUGGGCGUAAAGGGUACGCAGGCGGUUUAAUAAGUCGAAUGUUAAAGAUCGGGGCUCAACCCCGUAAAGCAUUGGAAACUGAUAAACUUGAGUAGUGGAGAGGAUAGUGGAAUUCCUAGUGUAGUGGUGAAAUACGUAGAUAUUAGGAGGAAUACCAGUAGCGAAGGCGACUUUCUGGACACAAACUGACGCUGAGGUACGAAAGCGUGGGGAGCAAACAGG